UACGUAGGGUGCAAGCGUUGUCCGGAAUUAUUGGGCGUAAAGAGCUCGUAGGCGGUCUGUCGCGUCGGCUGUGAAAACCCGGGGCUCAACCCCGGGCCUGCAGUCGAUACGGGCAGACUAGAGUGCGGUAGGGGAGACUGGAAUUCCUGGUGUAGCGGUGAAAUGCGCAGAUAUCAGGAAGAACACCGAUGGCGAAGGCAGUUCUCUGGGCCGUAACUGACGCUGAGGAGCGAAAGCGUGGGGAGCGAACAGG
rnacentral:rRNA from 1 species